UACGGAUGUGCUGAGAGAGACCACCCUGGUGUCUAUGCCAAGGUCUGCCUCUUCAACGACUGGCUGCAGAGCACCAUGGCCAACAACUAAACUGGAUUCUUCUAGUGCUGCCGUUUGUCUACCAUCAUCCUGAACACCAUGCAGACACUUUGACACCAUUAAAUAAAUCAUAGAACCUAAUA